rnacentral:rRNA from 1 species
UGUGUAGGCGGUUGUUUAAGUUUGGUGUGAAAUCUCCCGGCUCAACUGGGAGGGUGCGCCGAAUACUGAGCGACUCGAGUGCGGGAGAGGAGAGUGGAAUUCCUGGUGUAGCGGUGAAAUGCGUAGAUAUCAGGAGGAACACCGGUGGUGUAGACGGCUCUCUGGACCGUAACUGACGCUGAGACACGAAAGCGUGGGUAGCAAACAGGAUUAGAUACCCUGGUAGUCCACGCCCUAAACGAUGCAUAUUUGGUGUGGGCAGUUCAUUCUGUCCGUGCCGGAGCUAACGCGUUAAAUAUGCCGCCGUGGGGAGUACAGUCGCAAGGCUGAA